UUUGCAGCUUCUUUCGUCUGUCAGUAAAUGUGAAUGCUUCUAGUCAUCAGUCAAAUAUCUUAUGUUAUUUUGACAAUGAGGCAGAUGGCCUGCUGUUUUGGGUCAAACUUGGGUGAAUGUGCAUGACCACAGCAAGUACCACUGAGGACCUACUGCGAUAUUUUCUCUAAAUUGAUCUUACCUCAUUUAAUUCUUUAAAAAAUCUUCUUGCCUACAUUUUCUCAUUGCCUCUAAGGACAUUGUGUUGGACUGGUGAUGGCGUGUACAAUUCAAUAACUCUCUGGUCUCUAAACUAAAAGAAUAACUUUUAAUUUUAGAGAUUCAGGACUCAGGAGAAGACUUCGUGGGCAAGAGUUGACAUAGAAGUUGACAGUCAAAACCUUACACUAAUUCUUAGAAGUGUUGAUCUCCAAUAAAGAGAAGAGCUAAAACUCAUGCUCCUAGGGACUUAUAGAUGAUGCAUUUGGUGGCCAUCGUGGCUUCAUCCACAAAGCAGCCCUUACCUCUGAGAAAUGCUGGGAACAUUGAAGUUUAUUUAGAUAUCAACAUAUGAAUUCCCACCAGAGCAUCAUAAAGUAGUCUUUCCUGAGACUGUGAGAGUUCCCUGCCUUCUGAGGGCCCCGGUGCUGCCUGCCCUGUCAGGGUACCCUGAGGAGCAGAUGAUGGGAUCGCUGAGAAUUUUAGACACUGGAUGUUUCGCUAGUGUAAAUGUGGGGGUGCAGUGGGUGGAAGAUCAGGUUUGUUAGGGAAGAUGAGGAAGGAAAAGAGACGCUUCCUGGGAGAAUAGGACAAGGUCCCAGACCAAAGAAGUCCCUUUUCAGAGGAUCCAGAGAAUCUGUUUCUUAAACCUGGAGAAGAACAUGAGGUCAUAGUUUCAUUUCCUCCGAAGGAUUCUGAAGCCUGGGAAAAAAGGUAGAAACAGAAGGGAAAGACAUUCUUGAUUUUGUUGGCUGCAGUGGUGGAGGCUGGAAAUUUCUGCCACUAAAAUCGAUGGACUGGAUGCAUGCCACAGUGCCAAUCAGAGCACCGUGGCCUGGCAAGGUCUGAUGUUUUCCAAGGAUCCUGGCUGAGUUCCUGCAGGAGCAGCUCCCUGUGCUGAAGUGGUCCCUUGGCUGGCAGGUCCCUCUGUGAUCAACCACAUGACAUCUGCCAGUUAAGAAGGACAGGUAGGACACGAUGCACUUUCCAUCAAAAAAAAAAAAAAAAAAAAAAGAUAAGUUUUUCCAAACUGCUUUUCUUUCAUUCAGAUUUCAAUCUUAAUACUACGAUACAUUAAUUUUUUAUUUUUAUCUAAUAAGGUCCAGAAUUUCUGAUAAUUUCAGGUCUUUUUCAGAGUCCAAAGAAGCAACUCGGCUCUUCAGAGAUUCAAGACUCAGGAGCAGACUUUGUGGCAAGAGUUGACAUAGAAGUUGACAGCCGAAACCCUACACCAGUUCUUAGAAGUGUUGAUCUCCAAGAGUAGAAACAGCUAAAACUCAUGCUCCCAGGGACUUACAGGUCCCAGAAUGAGGAAGUCCUUCCUCAGUGGAUCCAGAGAAUCUAUUCCUUAAGCCUGGAGAAGAACAUGAGGUUAUAGAUUCUUUUUCUCCAAAGGAUCCCAAAGCUUGGGAGGAAAGGAUCUAAAAAAUGUUUGUGCAGCCGUUUGGACCUCAGUGUGAAGUGGUGAUAAAAGGUGAAGUCCAUUCUUCAGGAAGUAAACCCCUGCCACAUGGAUCAUGCUCAGACAUUCUAUUGAUUUUGUCCAACAAACAGUUUCUUGCUUUGGAACAUUUCCCUCUUGGUGGAAAACAGUUGUACAAGAAGUAUGGCAACAUCUCCUUGGGUUCAAUUAUGGUGGAAGGCGAAGAGGAAACUGGCAUUUCACAUGGCUAAGAAUUUCCAGUAAACCAGCACCAGCCUGAAGAUCAUGUUCUCAUCAAAGGGUGGAAAGAAGAAAAACUCGAGCCAGCCUGGGAAGGACCCUACCUUGUGCUGCUAACCACCAAGACUGCUGUUUGUACAGCAAAAAAAGGAUGGACUCAUCACACCUGAGUCAAGAAAGCACCACCCUCUUCCAGAGUCAUGGGCCAUAGUCCCAGGGGAAAACCCUACCAAACUAAAGCUAAGAAAAAUUUAACUCUUUUCAUUUAUUCUAUUACUCUUUCUUAUUUCCUCGUUCUAUUGCUGACCAUCUAGUUAUUAACAUAACCAAGUCAAUUUCACCUCAAACUGUUGCAUUUAAUGCUUGCCUUGUUAUACCCUGUGGAGACUUGCCAAGUCAAAGACAGAUUUCUAAUUCAGAAAAGUACUUCUGUCCCUCCUGACUGUCCUCAGACUGGGCAUUAGUAAACUAGGACCAUUUAAUCUGGGGAGAUUUUGAUAAAGACCCCAGUGCCAGCCAGGAGUCUUGCCCCCCAGUGUAGAGCUUUUAUGCCAUAGUUGGUCCAAUAUUCCGUGGACCACUAAAGAGCAAGGAUGUACUACCCCAACCGGUUUUUGUAAUUUCCUAAAAUCAUACAUUCAUUUUACUAGACGAUCAUAGAAGUUAAAGACUUAAAACAAACUUUAGCAAUUAAGACAGGAUACCAAGAUACAAAUGCCUGGUUAAAAUGGAUUGAAUAUUCCAUCUGCACAUUAAACAAAAGCAAUUGUUAUGCUUGUGCACAUAGCAGGCCAGAGGCCCAAAUUGUCCCCCUUCCACUAAGGUGGUCCUCCAGUCGACCAGGCAUAGGCUGCAUGGUAGCUCUUUUCCAGGAUUCUACAUCCUGGAGUAGUAAGUCGUGCCAAGCUCUCUCUGCUAUAUCCUGAAGUCCAGCACCCUGCGGGUCAGCCCCCAAGGGCCAUCUAGCUUCCGUCUCCCUACACUAAGUUCACUUCGUGUGUCUCACAACAGGGAGGAAACUUAGCAUUCCUUGGAGACCUGAAGAGAUGCAGUGAGCUUAAGAAUUUUCAAGAGCUUAUCAAUCAGUCAGCCCUUGUUCAUCUCUGAGCGGGUGUGUGGUGGUAUUGUGGUGGACCUUUACUGGACACUCUGCCAAAUAACUAGAAGUGGCACUUGUGGUGUAGUCCAUUUGGCUAUCCCUUUCACCCUGGCAUUUCAUCAGCCAGAGGGAGGAAAAAUAAUAAGACGUCGUAAAGCGAGAGAAGCCCCUUAUGCGUCUUUAAACUCCCACAUCUAUUUAGAUGCAAUUGGAGCCCCGCAAGGAAUACCAGAUCAAUUUAAAGCUUGAAAUCAAAUAGCUACAGGAUUUAUGUCAAUAUUUUACUAGGUGACAGUUAAUAAAAAUGUAGAUUAGAUAAACUAUGUCUAUUACAACCAACAGCAACAAGUUUUUCAUGAGUUAAAAGAAAAACUCAUGUCAGCCCCAGCCCUGGGGCUACCUGACUUGACAAAACCCUUUACACCCUGUGUCAGAAAAAGAAAAAUGGCAGUUAGAGUUUUAACCCAGACUGUAGGGCCCUGGCCAAGGCCAGUGGCCUAUCUCUCAAAACAACUAGACAGCGUUUCCAAAGGCUGGUCCCCAUGUCUAAGGGCCCUAGCAGCAAUUGGCCCUGGUAGCACAAAAAGCAGAUAAACUAACUCUUGGGCAAAACCUAAACAUAAAUUCCCCCCGUGCUGUGGUGACUUUAAUAAAUACCAAAGGACAUCAUUAGCUAACGAAUGCUAGACUAACUAGAUACCAAAGCUUGCUCUGUGAAAAUUCCCACAUAACCAUUGAAGUUUACAACACCCUAAACCCCACCACCUUGCUCCCGGUAUCAGAGAGCCCAGUUAAACAUAACUAUGUAGAGGCAUUGGACUCAGUUUAUUCUAGUGGGCCUGACCUCCGAGAGCAACCUUAAACAUCAGUAGACUGUGAGCUGUACAUGGAUGGGAGCAGCUUCGCCAACCCCUGCAAAGUGAAUCUGAAGAAGACGACAAGCCCUACUCCAGUCACACCCGGAAGCUGACUGGUCCAUGCACGGCCGAAACAUGAGGAAACUUACCACGGGACUCAUUUUCCUUAAAAUUUGGACUUGUACAGUAAGGACUUCAACUGACCUUCCUCAGACUGAGGGCUGUUCCCAGUGUAUACAUCAAGUCACUGAGGUAGGACAAAAGGUUGCUAUGGUCCUAUUGUUUUAUGGGUAUUAUAAGUGUACUGGAACUCUAAAAAGAACUUGUUUAUAUAAUGUUAUUCUAUACAAGGUAUGUAGCCCAGGAAAUGACCAACCUGAUGUGUGUUAUGACCCAUCUGAGCCUCCCAUGACCACUGUUUUUAAAAUAAGAUUAAGAACUGAAGACUGGUAGGGGCUCAUAAACAAUAAGAGUGAAGUGUUAGCCAAAACAGAAAAAAAAAAAAAAAAGAGGUGCCCAAACAAGCCACCUUAAAAUUUAAUGUCUGUGCCGUCAUUAAUAAUAAUAAGUUAAAAAUAGGAUAUGGUUCUCUUAAUUAGAAAAGAGGCUAUAUGGCAAAAAAUAAGUACAUUUAUCAUGAAUUAGGACUGUGUGAAAAUAAAUGUAGAUACUGGUCUUGUGUCAUUUAGGCUACUUGAAUAAAAAAAAAAUGAAAACAAUCCUGUCCACCUUCAGCAAGGGAAAAGUGGCCCUUCCUGUACCAGUGGGCAGUGUAACUCCUUAGAACUAGUAAGAGAACAACCCCCUCGCUAGAAAAAAAGGGAACAUGUAACCCUAAAAAUUGAUGGAGCUGGACUAGAUCUUCAAGUAAAUAUCAUGGUUUGAGAAAAAGUUUAUAAACGCUCUCCUGAGCCAGUAUUUCAAACCUUCUAUGAUAAACUAAAUGUGCCAGUACCAGAAAUUCCAGAAAAACAAGAAAUUGGUUUUUGCAAUUAGCCAAGCACGUAGCCCAGUCUCUCAAUGUCACUUCAUGUUAUGUAUGUGGAGGAACUGUAAUAGGAGAUCAAUGGCCAUAGGAAGCCCGAGAAUUAGUACCUAUAGACACAGUUCCUGAUGAAUUCCCAGCCCAAAAGAAUCACCCUGAUCACUUCUAGGUCCUAAAACCCUCAAUCAUUAGACAAUACUGUAUAGCAAGAGUGGGAAAGGACUUCACCCUUCCUGUAGGAAGUCUACAUGGUGGAGUUCAAACCACACAGAGAAAAAUCCAUUCAGUAAAUUUCCAAAGUUGCAGACCAUUUGGGCCUACCCAGAAUCCCACCGGGACUGGACGGCCCCCACUGGGCUAUACUGUAUAUGUGGACAUAGAGCCUAUGCUAACCUGCCUGACCAGUGGACAGGUAGUUGUGUUAUUGGCACUAUUAAACCAUUUUUCUUCCUACUGCCCAUAAAAACAGGUGAACUCCUGGGCUUCCCCGUCUAUGCUUCCCACGAAAAGCGAAGCAUAGCCAUAGAUAAUUAAAAAGAUGACAAACGGCCUCCUGAAAAAAAUUAUACAAUACUAUGGGCCUGCCACUUGGGCACAAGUGGGGAUACUGGACUCCCAUUUACAUGCUCAACCGAAUCAUACGGUUGCAAGCUGUCUUGGAGAUCAUCUCUAAUAAAACCGGUAAAGCCUUGACUGUUCUGGCUCGGCAAGAAACUCAGAUGAGAAAUGCUAUCUAUCAAAAUAGAUUGACUCUCGACUACUUGCUAGCAGCUGAAGGAGAAGUCUGUAGAAAAUGUAACCUUACCAGUUGCUGCCUGCACAUAGAUGAUCAGGGGCAAGUAGUCAAAGAUACAGUUAAAGACAUGAAGAAACUGGCACAUGUGCCUGUACAAGUGUGGCAUGGAUUUGACCCUGAAGCCAUGUUUAAAAAUUGUUCCCAACACUAAGAGGAUUUAAAACUCUUAUAAUAAAAAUUAUAGUAGUAAUAGGAACCUGCUUACAGAUCCCUUAUUUACUACCUGUACUCAUUCAAAUAGUAAAAGGUUUCAUCACUACUCUAGUCCACCAGAAUGCUUCAGCACAAGUGUACUGCAUAAAUCACUAUCGAUCUGUCAUGCAGGAAGACAUAGGUAGUGAAAAUGAAGGUGAGAACUCCCACUAAUAAAGUGAGUGAGAGUCUCAAAGUGGGGGAAUAAGGGAGGAGACCACCCCUCAUAUUGUCUUAUGCCCAAUUUCUGCCUCCAAAGAGGGAAGAAGUAAAAACUAAAAGGGAGAAAUGAAAUCCACAGGCGGACAGCCCGGCACCAUGCCCUGGGCCUGGUAGUUAAAGAUCGACCCCUGACCUAACCAGUUACGUUAUCUAUAGAUUCCAGACAUUGUAUGGAGAAGCAUUGUAAAAAUCCCUGUCCUGUUCUGUUCCAAUCUGAUUACCGGUGCAUGCAGCCCCCAGUCACAUACCCCUUGCUUGCUCAAUUGAUCACGACCCUCUCACGCAGACCCGCUUAGAGUUGUGAGCCCUUAAAAGGGGCAGGAAUUGCUCACUCGGGG